GGAUCCAGACUUUGAUUAUGGCUCAGGAUGAACGCUGGCGGCGUGCCUAACACAUGCAAGUCGAACGGAGUUAUGAUGUGAGCGGGAAGUGCUUGCACUAAACAAUCUUUUCAUAACUUAGUGGCGGACGGGUGAGUAACGCGUGGGUAACCUGCCCUGUACUGGGGGACAACAGUUGGAAACGACUGCUAAUACCGCAUAAGCGCACGGGAUCGCAUGAUCUAGUGUGAAAAACUCCGGUGGUACAGGAUGGACCCGCGUCUGAUUAGCUGGUUGGUGAGGUAACGGCCCACCAAGGCAACGAUCAGUAGCCGGCCUGAGAGGGUGAACGGCCACAUUGGGACUGAGACACGGCCCAAACUCCUACGGGAGGCAGCAGUGGGGAAUAUUGCACAAUGGGGGAAACCCUGAUGCAGCGACGCCGCGUGAGUGAAGAAGUAUUUCGGUAUGUAAAGCUCUAUCAGCAGGGAAGAAAAUGACGGUACCUGACUAAGAAGCCCCGGCUAACUACGUGCCAGCAGCCGCGGUAAUACGUAGGGGGCAAGCGUUAUCCGGAUUUACUGGGUGUAAAGGGAGCGUAGACGGCAUGGCAAGUCUGAAGUGAAAUGCGGGGGCUCAACCCCUGAACUGCUUUGGAAACUGUCAGGCUGGAGUGCAGGAGAGGUAAGUGGAAUUCCUAGUGUAGCGGUGAAAUGCGUAGAUAUUAGGAGGAACACCAGUGGCGAAGGCGGCUUACUGGACUGUAACUGACGUCGAGGCUCGAAAGCGUGGGGAGCAAACAGGAUUAGAUACCCUGGUAGUCCACGCCGUAAACGAUGAUUACUAGGUGUUGGGGAUUUAUAAAUCCUCGGUGCCG
rnacentral:rRNA from 1 species